rnacentral:rRNA from 1 species
AUGAUUAAUUCUAGACUGAAGAAAGCAAGGAAGUGCUCAAGAAUUACCAUCCUCAAAGCCAGCAGCUUGUGCUCCUCCUCCAGCAUCUUCUCCUGCGGUAAAUCACAAAGGAGGAGCAUGAUCAGAAUUUUCUUUGCCAAAAAAAUGAUCAAAAUUCUUCUUCAAAAAACUCCAUGGUGUACAGAAGGAAAUGCAAAGCGCAGUGGUAAAUUUAGUGCCCAUACAUUCCUCCUGUGCAUCUUCCAGUGGUCCAUCUGCAACAAGGAGACGACACCAACAUCAGAGACAGACAACAAUAUUCCACAAAACAGAUAUGAAACACUUGCAAGCUCUGAAUCUUUUACACCCUGCAUUACCAUCUUGUCCCUGAGGCUGGUCUGGCCGUUGGUGAGCGCCUCCUCGAUGGCGAUCAGCUCCUUGGGCUGCAGCGAGUUCACAUCCUCGCCUUUCAUAUGCCUGCACCGUCAUCAGCCGCCGCAGUCUAGUCAUACUCAUACAAACGUUGAAGCGCCACAUGUAGAAUUGGAAAGAAAUCAAAGCUGGAAGCUGGAUGGAACAACACUUGCCUGA